rnacentral:rRNA from 1 species
AUGCUGCCCUUCUAUAUCUGCUCUGCUCUCUUCACACUAUUAUAUUUCGCACAUGUGCAGCAACCGACGGCCGCACAGAUCACCGCACCAUGGGAAGUCAACGCUUUGAGAGCUAUAAGAGGCAGCUUGAGUGAUCCAAAUGGAUUUCUCAACAGCUGGAACCGUGGAGAUCCAUGCGUCGCAAAUUGGACCCGUGUUAUCUGUUACAACGUAACAGCAAAAGAUGAUGGAUACUUCCAUGUGCAAGAACUACAGCUUCUACGGUUGGAUUUAUCCGGGACUUUAGCUCCUGAGCUUGGCCAGCUCUCCCGUAUGAAAAUUAUGGAUUUCAUGUGGAACAAAAUCACUGGGAGCAUUCCUAAGGAGGUCGGCAACAUUACUUCUCUGGAACUAUUGCUCGUAAAUGGGAACCAGCUGACCGGUUCUUUACCAGAGGAAAUUGGCUUCCUUCCUAACCUGAAUAGGAUUCAGAUUGAUCAGAACAAUAUAUCCGGACCCAUACCUAAAUCAUUCGCUAACCUGAACAAAACCAAGCACUUUCACAUGAACAACAAUUCAUUGAGUGGUCAGAUUCCACCUGAAUUGUCAAGGUUACCUUCACUUGUUCACAUGUUGCUGGAUAACAAUAACCUAUCGGGCUAUCUUCCUCCAGAAUUAGCGCAGCUACCGAAACUGCUCAUCAUCCAGCUAGACAAUAACAACUUCUCGGGAAGCUCGAUUCCUCCAUCUUAUGGCAAUAUCACCACACUUCUGAAAUUGAGUUUGAGGAACUGCAGCUUGGAAGGCCCUGCUCCUGACGUUAGUGGAAUACCGCAACUUGGCUACUUGGAUGUUAGUUGGAAUCAGUUGACGGGUCCCAUACCAUCCGGCCAACUAGCGAGCAACAUAACUACAAUAGAUUUUUCCCACAAUCGUCUUAACGGUUCUAUUCCUGCAAGUUUCUCCGGCCUUCCUAAUCUGCAAAGACUGUCAUUGGACAAUAAUAACUUGGAUGGCUCUGUCCCAUCUGAUGUCUGGCGAAACAUCGAUUUCAGUGGAAACAGAAGCCUGAUAUUGGAUUUCCAGAACAACGCCCUCACGAAUCUGUCAAAUCCUCUUACACCCCCUGCUAAUGUUACCAUCAUGUUAUCUGGAAACCCCGUAUGUCAGUCCCAGAACCAACUGAACAUAGCUCAGUAUUGUCAAUCAACUCCAGAACUUAAUCCUGGAGGAGGCUCCAUAGAUAACAGCACACUUUGUGCGCCAUGCGCAACCGACCUUCCUUUAGAAAGCGUACUCAAGGCACCAAAUCCAUGCUCGUGUGGUGUUCCACUCUACGUGGAUUACCGGCUCAAGAGUCCAGGAUUCUGGGAUUUUGUUCCCUAUGAAGCGCAGUUUCAGGAGUACCUGUCGUCGGGGCUCUUUCUCAACUCGUACCAGCUGGAAGUUACCACUUUCAUGUGGGAAGAAGGCCCAAGGCUCAAGAUGACGCUGAAGCUGUUCCCAAACAACACCAUUCUUUUUAAUUCGGGUGAAGUGCAGAGACUGAGAUACAUGUUCACAGGGUGGCUCAUCGCGGACUCGGAUAUAUUUGGGCCCUAUGAGCUUAUCAACUUCGACCCAGGGUGGUAUGAGAAGGUACUGCCGGGUCGUACAAAGAAAAGUCUCAGUACAGGUGCCAUUGUUGGUAUUGUGAUCGCAGCCUUUGCUGCAGCGGCAGUUCUUUCAUCACUCAUUACUCUCAUCAUAUUGAGAAGGCGUUCAAGACAGUUUUCAAAGAAACGCACCGCGAAAAGGAUUCCGAUGAAAAUUGAUGGCGUGAAAGACUUCACUUUCGAAGAAUUAUCAAACUGUACAAAUGAUUUCAGUGAGUCGGCACUAAUUGGUCAAGGAGGGUAUGGAAAAGUAUACAGGGGGGUGUUGGCUGAUGGAAAAGUAGCAGCAAUAAAACGUGCACAAGAGGGAUCUCUUCAGGGUUCAAGGGAGUUCUUCACAGAGAUAGAGUUGCUGUCCAGGCUGCAUCACCGAAACCUCGUCUCUUUGCUUGGCUAUUGCGACGAAGAGGAUGAGCAGAUGCUGGUGUACGAGUACAUGCCAAACGGUACUCUACGUGAUCAUCUUUCAGCUAAAGCUAGAGAGUCUCCAAGUUUUCCCAUGAGGCUACGAAUCGCACUGGGAUCAUCACGGGGCAUCCUGUAUCUGCACACGGAAGCGGACCCUCCGAUAUUCCAUCGCGACAUCAAGGCCAGCAACAUUUUACUCGACUCCAAGUUUGUAGCCAAGGUUGCCGAUUUCGGCCUGUCGCGCCUUGCUCCGCUGCCGGAUACAGAGGGGAGCGCCCCUGGCCACGUGUCCACCGUCGUCAAGGGCACCCCGGGUUAUCUUGACCCGGAGUAUUUCCUGACACACAAGCUCACGGACAAGAGCGACGUGUACAGCCUGGGCGUGGUGUUCCUGGAGCUGCUGACGGGGAUGCAGCCUAUUUCUCAUGGAAAGAACUUGGUGAGGGAGGUGGUGGCGGCGAACCAGUCGGGGAUGAUCCUGUCGGUGGUGGAUCUGCGGAUGGGGUCAGUGCCGGGGGAGUGCGUGGAGCGGUUCGCCGCGCUGGGGCUGCGGUGCUGCCGGGACGAGACGGACGCGCGGCCGUCCAUGGCGGAGGUGGUCAGGGAGCUGGAGACCAUCUGGCAGAUGACGCCCGACACGGACGGCGUGCCCUCGGAGUCGGUGGCCAUGGAUCCCACCCACACGCCAGCAUCGUCGUCGACAGCAACCGGGUCUCGGAUGGGCAACGAGCAGUACGACAUGUCGACGUCGGACGUGUCCGGCAGCAACCUGCUGAGCGGCGUGGUGCCCAGCAUCAACCCUCGCUGA